UACAGAGGUGGCAAGCGUUGUUCGGAAUUACUGGGCGUAAAGGGCGCGUAGGUGGCCUUCUUAGUCAGACGUGAAAUCCCCGGGCUUAACUCGGGAACUGCGUCUGAUACUGGAAGGCUAGAGUUCGGGAGAGGAAUGUGGAAUUCCAGGUGUAGCGGUGAAAUGCGUAGAUAUCUGGAGGAACACCGGUGGCGAAGGCGGCAUUCUGGACCGAAACUGACGCUGAGGCGCGAAAGCGUGGGGAGCAAACAGG
rnacentral:rRNA from 1 species